UAUGUGUAUAUUAUUCAUCUAGAAUUCUCUACGGCUCAGUCCUCUAACUAGCUCUCUUUCAAGUUUCACCAUUACUUUAUUCAAUCAUUUACAGAUCUACCAUUGCUAGCGAGUUCUAGCAGUAAUCUUAUACCAUUACUCCAUAAGUAUUGACCUUUCUCUCUAACCUUUCCUUAUCCUUUGUAUCCUCUUUUAGGGAUUUACCGUUGUCUUUGAUUUGCUUGGUCCUAUCUUCUUCUAAUUUUUGCUUUGGCACAACAGAAUCUCAGCGGUUAGUCAUAGUUGAAACCAGAGGUGAUAGACGAGGUUUUUAAUGUUCAGUUUCAAGGACCCAAAUGUUACUUUGCUUUCAAAUCUCAUACCCAUAUCGGAGGUGCGAAAUCAAAAGAAUUUUUUACUAAAGAGAUACUUGCAGAGGAUGAAUGAAAAGUUGUAGAAUCACUAAAAAGGUAGCAGAUGAUAAAAGGUAAGUUGCUAAGAUUUCAUUCCACAUUUUCUGGUUAUUUUAAGAGUGUGUUUUCACUUUCAAUGUAUCACCAUCUACUCAUCUAAAAGUUGUUUAUGCAUUAUAUUUCUCCUUUGUGGGUCAAUUUGGGAGUAAAAAGCAUGAAAAAUAAAAAAUUGGAAGAUCUGGGUGAUUCAAGAAAUGCAAAUAAUCAUAGUGUAACCGUUAGAACCCGAAACUACCAGAGUGACCAACACACAACUAGAAAUUGAAAAGGAAACUGAUACUAAAAGUAUACUAAAGUUAAAUGUAUUGUAUAUUUCAAGAGACUUUAUUUUACAAAAGGUAAUAUGUGCUACAACAGAUUUCUUACAGGGUACAACUGAAGAGGAAGAGUAAGAGACUUCUUCCAAGUACUUGUUCCGAUUCACUUUUUAACACAUACAAACUCAAUCUUUUAAUUACAUUGCAUAUAUUAACAGAAGGAUGUGCAUAACGGGGUCACUUGAAAAAGUUGCAGCCUUAUUUGUGGAAGUGCUUGAAUGGUAUCUCUCGAUGUUGUUGCGAACUCAGUAAUUCUAAAUGUAUUUUCUGAAUCUGGUGUAUUGAUUGUGAGAGUUAUUUCUAUUACAUACUUAUCAAAAUCUAACCAUACAAGGAAAAGUUAGGACUAUUCAUCCCCUUUUCUUCCCUUCUUUUGCAUCUUUAUGGCCUACAUCUGAAUGGAAUUCCGCCUAAUACAUGAUAUAUUAAGGAUGUGUAGUUUUAUUUUUUGCCUAAACGUCUAUUUUGACGUUGUAUCUUGACAAGCUAAAUAAAAUAAGAGAACUUAUUAAUAUGUGUAUUUAUAAGUUAAAUUAGUUUGGAAUAGUCUGGUGGAUUGAUUCCCAUGCUGCGACAGAUUUCUUAAUUAGGAAAAGUAAUUUUAUCUGCAACAUAAAUAGUGCCAGUGAUCUUAUCGAACUAAUAGCUGCAACUACGACAACUGCAUAUUUAGUCAGUUGCUAUUUUCAAGUGAAUAUGAGCUAUUGAUACCCAUGUUUAUUAAUAAUAGCCUUUUUUCCAUGACUGAAAAGCUUCGAGAGCAAAAACUACUCUUCUCUCAAAGCUUUGGUUACAAGAUUAUGGGAGAAGCAAGGAGGAAUGAAUCUAUAAGUUAUGUAGCAAAAGUAUGGUGGAACUCUGUUGCUUUUCCUAUGGGCAUGGAUGAAUUGUUGCAACUAACAAGAGAAGGUUAAUAUUGAUUUAUAUGCAAGAACUAUUCUUAAUAAAUUUUGUUAUUCUGAAUUCUUAGGUGAGAAAUGAUGAAAACGCGUGUCUGACUAUAUGAACAAAAUAUCUCAGUUCUCUCAAUAGAAUUUCAAGAUUUUCAUAUCAUUACUCUUUGUAAUUGAAUUGCAUUUGCUCAUACACAUAGAUGAAAACACCAACAUUUGUGGAAUCAAUAGAUUGUGACCAAGUUGAAGAGUAAACAUGUCAGUUGAGCUUUUUCUAAAAAUAAUAAAGGUAAGCUCUUUCCUUACAAUUUCAUGGUAGUUAAAACCAGAGUUGGUUAUAAAGUAUGUGAUGAAAGUGAUUUCUGACUGUUCAUGAAAGAGUUGGAGGCCUAGAUUUGUACCUUAGGAUAAAGACUGCUCAGGGUCUUCUAUAGUUCAAGUGCAAAAACAAAAGCCAUAAACAAAAAUGGGAUGAUAGAAUUCAGAAACUUCUUGAUGGUCCGAGCGAGGGCUCAGUCUCACUGAGAGUGUUGAACAUUAAUAAGAACUUUUGACUAAUUUAUUAAUUUUUAUUUUACGUUUUUUGUGUUAUAUAUUAUGUAUAAAGAUGCUCAUGACACUACUUGAUUUGUCGGUAUGAUAACUUUUGACUUAAGACGUAAGCUACAUAUCAAAUGACAAACUAAGCUCUCUGAAUAGAAUCUAAAAGUUUUAGUUGUAAGGCCAUGGGUAGAAGAAAUUUUAGAUUUUUUAUUUCUUGGGAAAGUAUGGAUUUUUUGAGUGCUUGAUUCUGAUUCUAAGUGGAUUUUGGUAAAUGGUGCCUGCUCAUAAGCUUCAAGAUCAAUUUUCUAUUGUCUCAUCCAGUGCUAUAUGCAUAUUCAUUAGCUUUAUCACACUUAUGUUCAUAAUUAUGACUAAUAUAUGUUCCUUUUUUUCUUUUUCUUUUUUUGUCUUUUGGGUCUUCCUUUCAAAGGUUAUGCUUAUUAAUUUGCUUCAAUGGUUGGUGGCUCAAUUGAGUUAAGAAAAAACUUGGGUUGCCUGUGUGAAGAAAAUUCAGGGUGACAUGAGAGACCAUUGUGAUGUUUUUCAUUAGUUGAAUGAUUUAGUUUGCGAAAGGUUUCAUUUGUGGAAACUGAGAUAACAUGGCUAUCCACAUUUUUGUCUCUACAUAAAUAUGACAUUCUUUUGUUUCUCUACUGUAUAAGAUGGUGUGAUACGUUUUUUAAAUUUCAAGAUGCUAUUAUUAUUAAGUUAUAUAUGUACCAUUGGAACAGUUAGACCUCUUUAGCACCAUAGUCAUCUCAGUAAUCUAGAGGUCUGAAGAGCGUGGUUUUGUCCA